rnacentral:rRNA from 1 species
CGAACGCGAAAAAGGGGGAAACCCCUUGAGUAGAGUGGCGAACGAGUAACGCGUGAAGAACCUGCCUUCAACAGGGGGAUAACACUCCUAAGUGCUAAUACCGCAUGAGACCACGGAGCUGCAUGGCUCUGAGGUCGUGGCCUCUAUUUAUAAGCUACCGGUUGAAGAUGGCUUCGCGUCCCAUUAGCUAGGGUGUAAAAGACCACCAAGGCGACGAUGGGUAGCUG